rnacentral:rRNA from 1 species
UACGUACUGUGCGAACGUUAUUCGGAAUCACUGGGCUUAAAGGGUGCGUAGGCGGCCUUCUAAGUCGAACGUGAAAUCCCCGGGCUCAACCCGGGAACUGCGUCCGAUACUGGAAGGCUUGAAUCCGGGAGAGGGAUGCGGAAUUCCAGGUGUAGCGGUGAAAUGCGUAGAUAUCUGGAGGAACACCGGUGGCGAAGGCGGCAUCCUGGACCGGCAUUGACGCUGAGGCACGAAAGCGUGGGGAGCGAACAGG